UGGAAGUCAAAUUAUGGUGUCUGGUUAGCUCUCCACUUGGCUAGGCAUGUUAAUGAAUAUCCUCUUGCCUCAGUAAGGAUGGAUUUCACACAAGCAGAUCACAAUGAAUAUUUGGUAUUCAACCUGCGUUGCUUGCUCUGAUGGGACUCACAGCUCAUAUGUUUCCUUCAGGGUGAUGCAAGACCUGAUUUAAACCUUGGCUCUAUGCACACACCACAUUGCUCCUUUGGGUACACUUCUAUUUGCAGUUCAUCAGUUACAGAAAAGAAGAUGGGAUAAAACCUGAGAGAGGCUGAAUGCAUUGACUCCUAUUGACUUCAUUAGAUGUUUAGGGGCAAAACCCUUUGUAGGAGGAUCAUGCUCUAAUCUAAGUGUGCCAGUUGCCAAAGGGUCCGUUCAAAUGAAGAAUCCAAUGAUUCUUUCCAAGCCUAUCCUGCGACAGCGAUGGCAUCAUUUGCCUUAAAUGGGAGGUGGUGUAUCCUGUCCUCUGACAUGCAUUUUCAAGUCUAUACCACAACUGCCCGUUGAUCAUGAUGGUUUUUUGUAACAACCACCCCUCCUCUCCAUUUGGAAACAGGUUCUUGAAAAUCGCCUUGGAUUUAUUAAGAGGUAAAAUAAUCCUGAAUAAAACGAAUAUAC